rnacentral:rRNA from 1 species
AUUGAACGCUGGCGGCAUGCUUUACACAUGCAAGUCGAACGGCAGCACGGACUUCGGUCUGGUGGCGAGUGGCGAACGGGUGAGUAAUACAUCGGAACGUACCCAGUAAUGGGGGAUAACUAUCCGAAAGGAUAGCUAAUACCGCAUACGCCCUACGGGGGAAAGAGGGGGAUCUUAGGACACCUUGUUAUUGGAGCGGCCGAUGGCUGAUUGGCUAGUUGGUGAGGUAAAGGCUCACCAAGGCGACGAUCAGUAGCGGGUCUUAGAGGACGAGCCGCCACACUGGAACUGAGACACGGUCCAGACUCCUACGGGAGGGAGCAGUGGGGAAUCUUGGACAAUGGGCGCAAGCCUGAUCCAGCAAUGCCGCGUGCGUGAAGAAGGCCUUCGGGUUGUAAAGCGCUUUUGUCAGGGAGCAAAUCCUUGUGGCUAAUACCCACCGGGGAUGAGAGUACCUGAAGAAUAAGGACCGGCUAACUACGUGCCAGCCGCCGCCGUAACAC